UGACCACGCCCUCCAAACCCCCCACCCCCCGGGCUGAUCUGUGCAACCCCAUGGGGAUCUAUGGCGGUAGUGCUUGGAGCUCGGCGUCGCCUCCCUCCAGACGCCUGUGGUGUGCGAGAUGGAAGUUGCCUCCCUCCCUUCGACACCACUACCAGAACUGGUCGACGCCGCCGGUCGCGUCCCUCUCUUCUCCGCGGUGACGAGCAUGGGCGGGUUCCCCACCAUGGCUUCCUCGCCGCCAACGGCGAGCGCGGUGCCUCCUCUCCACGCUCUGUAGAUCCGUCCCGGUGGAAACUCGAUGCAGGUUCUAUCAGUGAAAGGAUUGGAGACUGGUUCUAGUAGUGGUGGUUUGUUUGAUGAAUUUCUAGUGCCCAUGAUUUGCAAAGGGUUUCAGCCAGUACUGGCGUCUAGCAACCUUGAAGCCCACAGUUGACCUGCCUCCUAAUUUGUGUGAUGAGCAAAUGUGUAGAUUGUGUGUGUAAAUCGGAGAUGCCUUGGGUUAUGCCCUCGGAGAAGAUGGAUUGGUCUUGGUGAACGAGGUGGAGGUGAUCGAAGAGGCAAUAUGCUUAUAAAUCAUCUUCACAUCGGGUAUAUUUCUCUCGGCUAUGGGUGUACAUGAUAUGUUUGCCAAAACACUUGCAAAUUAUGGCACACUUACUGGUGAGAGAUCCAUAUGCCUGAUGCCUGAAGUGAAAAAUUGUUGCAAGAUGUCCUAUAAGGCUAUUAAGGCAGAUGAUCUUAUUUUCUCCAUUGUCCAAUAUUGAAGCUUUUGUUGCCCAUCAGCAUACAGCCAUACACCUCAUCCAGGUUCAUUUCCUAUAUACUGGUUAGAUACUACUUCAUAGUUGCUCUAGGUGUACUUUGAUUAGCGUCAUCUACUUGUCCCAUCAUCGACAAGGCUAUAUGAUUGCGAGAGAUUAAUAACUUUUGUGAUACGCGUUCAUUUAUGAACUAAAUCAUCAGCUUGCUCAAUAAUACUUUUGGGGUACUCGUGUGGUGUUUAUGGCUGAUGAAAUACGCUUUGUUUAAUAGGACUGGAGACAUUUCUGAUGCUUAGGUCAAAACACCGGACCUAUUCUUAUUUGUUUGUAAACUCAGUCCAGUAAUACAAGUUAGCAUUUUGUCUUAAUUGUUCUUGGAAUUAAAAAGGAAACCUUCUUGUUGUUCGUUCUACACCACUAAUCUGUUUAGCCAUCCUUGAGAAAGGCUCGACGGUUGGACGUGAAAACUAUAUUUGUUCUCCUUUUGCUUCUCUGGUUUAGUUUUAAAUUUAAUCUGGGUUGGCUGUUUGCAAUUGAAAAAAUGUUUGUUUCAUGGCUUCCUGUAAAUGUUGUUAGGCACUGUAGAAGCAGAAAUUUAGAAGGGAAUCACAUUACGGAAGAAGGUUCACAAGAAUGGAGCAUCACUCCUUAGCACGUCUACAGAAACAAUGGGGGUUCGUAUGUACAAUUGUGCAUAUAGCUUAGGUGAAGCGAUUUCUGAUUUGCGAAACUCUCUAUGUUAAGAUAAAGGGAAGAACUAUAUAAUGCUAAAAUUUCCAUUACUCCUAUAACUAUUGAAUCAAAUCAAAUCUGUUUUUAUUCUUUUGUUUGCCUGCUAUGAAAAAUGAGGUUGGGUACUAGUGUGUAAAUAGGCAGAGUGAUUCCAGAUUUGUAACACUCUCCUCGUGUUAAGUUGAAGCAAUACAAUGAUCCAAUUUACAUUAUACAAAUUUAUUUUUAUUCUCAUGAACAUGAAUAUUGCAGUAUUUUUUGUGUGUAAUGAAAAGUGAGUGGAUCACGUGCUGAAGUACCCCUUUAGACCAUUUUUUUUAUCUUUAGACUAAUUUAACAUGUGUUAUCUUUCUGGGAAUAUAAAGUCUAUUUGCAGAUGAUAAGUCUUAUGAUUGUGCGCCUGCAGCUCCUUCUAUAGGCCUUAAAGUACCUGACACGCAGUUAUUAUGGGCCAAUGAUAAUUGAACUCCACAUUGCUUCUGUUCUACUUACUUCGCCUUUGUUUCGUUCUUGCGCCAGCGGCGCAAAGGGUGGACUCUAGUGUACAAAAGAGUGAACAUGUAAUUUGUCUUCCUGGACAUGGUUGCAGCCAUGCGAUGUGCUUAACCAUUUGUGUAGCUCAGUUUGAAGAUAUAAAAUAUUAUUUUCUUAUGUAAAAUUUGUGUACCCUUGUAGCUGAAUGCUACUGAACACAUGUAUGGAUGAUGAAGUACUGAAUUAUUAGUCUAUGAAUGUUUCUAAACUUUUAAGGUUU